ensembl:lncRNA
GGCAGAGCGGGUUUGUUUGUUAUCGACAGCGUUGCCAGAUUGGGUAAAUUUCCCGCCCAAUGAUAUUUUUCCCUGCCUAAAGCGGUUAAAAGUAGCCAAAUUGGGUGGGAAAUCUGCCCAAUCUGGCAACACUGCUCACCAGCCAGGGAUCCUGCUGAUUGGUUCAUAGCGCAGCGCGACUCGAUUUUUGCGCGAAUCAGACGCCUGUAAGGUCACACGCACACCCACUCAGCUCUUUCCCAUUGAAACCCAUGUUAUUCACCGGCCGCCAGUACUUUCUGAGAAAUGAAUGGGAGUCAACGGAGGCUGAGGGAGGACCUUCCUCCCUGAAGUAAUUUUCAAAAGGCGAUAGGAGGUGCUAAUGUCCCUUUACCCAGGGAAACAAACAUUAUAUAUUCAAAGGCUUUAAAGUAGUCAUAUUUAAGGGCAUUAAUUCAUAACAGUGGUCUGGGCAAUCUACAUUUUUUAUUCUCAACAAUGUUAAGGAGGAUCUUCCUCCCUCUCCUCAAUGGAGAAGCCUCCACUGGUCUGAACGUACGUACUGUUCAACGACGUUUGAGGCAAGUGGCUAAAUCAUUUUUAAUUUUCUGUAUUUGUUUUACUCUGUCAUCAUGUGAUAGAGCUUUCCAUCACUGCAUUAUAAUUUGUAUAUGUAUCAUACAUAUACACACACAGACAUACACACUAUAAAACAAUCAAUAUUGAUUGAUAAUGUGCUAAACAUAUUUUUUUCCUUCUAAUAACAGUGUUAAACCUGCGCCAGACAUUUUCAAGUAUGCCCGAAUCGGAUCUGGAUGACCUAGUCACAGAGCUGGUUUCUGGCAAUGACUUGGUGGGUCCUGAGUCUGUACGAGCGGCGCUGCAUGCAACGAAGAAGGGUGCGAGAAAGUAUGCUGUGUACAAACCCUGGGGCAGCUGCACUUAGAUCCUUACUGCAGAGACCAGAGAGACGGACUUACCAAGUAUAAGGUCCUAACUCUUUGUGGCACAUUGAUGGCAACCACAAGUUGAUAAGGUGGAGGAUGGUCAUCCAUGGAGGGAUAGAUGGCUACAGUCGCCUGAUUGUUUUCCUCCGUGCCUCCUCCAACAACCGCAGCAGCACAGUGUUGGAAAGCUUUGUCAAUGCUGUGGAUCGCUAUGGCGUGCCCUCCAGGGUCAGGACUGACAAAAGAGGAGAAAACAGUUCUGUGUGCCUCAUGAUGAACCUCUUCUGAGAUUUUAGAUGAGGCAGCGCCAUUCAAGGGAGGAGCGUACACAACCAACGCAUAGAGAGGCUCUGGGGGGAUCUCUGGCGUGGACUCACAAACGUGUACCACAACCUAUUUUCCUUUUUGGAGGGUGAGGGCAUAAUUAACCCUGACAGUGAUAUGCAUCUCUGGGCUCUCCAUUAUGUGUAUCUUCCAAGGCUGAACAGAGGUUUAGCUGACUUUGUCAAUCAGUGGAAUCACCAUGGGCUAAGGACGGAGGUCACAUGAGUCCAUUGCAGAUCUCUGUUCAAGGGUGUCUCCAGCAGCAGGGAAGAAGUUAAUCUGCCAUCCAGUACAUUUUUGGAGGAACUGCUGCUGGCCUUGCCCCUCCUCAAGCUGCUGGCCUUGCCCCUCCUCAUGCUGCUGGCCUUGCCCCUCCUCAUGCUGCUGGCCUUGCCCCUCCUCAAGCUGCUGGCCUUGCCCCUCCUCAUGCUGCUGGCCUUGCCCCUCCUCAUGCUGCUGGCCUUGCCCCUCCUCAUGCUGCUGGCCUUGCCCCUUCUCAAGCUGCUGGCCUUGCCCCUCCUCAUGCUGCUGGCCUUGCCCCUCCUCAUGCUGCUGGUGCUGCCGCUCCAGCUCCUGCUGCCCCUGCUGCAACUGUUGAAGAAGUUGCAUGGCUAGUAGACUGGCAAGAGAGGGUAACUGUGCCUCAUAUAGACUAUCCUUUGGAAGAGGCAGUGAUGGAGCACAUUCAGGCACAGUUUGACCCUCUCAGUGGCC